GCUCCCAUGGUGUAGUCCGGCCAAUCAUUCCGGCUUUUCGAGCCGAAGACGUGGGUUCAAAUCCCGCUGGGAGCA
rnacentral:tRNA from 1 species